rnacentral:rRNA from 1 species
GACGAACCGGGCAAACGUUAUUCGGAAUCACUGGGCUUAAAGGGUGCGUAGGCGGUCCUGAAAGUUGGGUGUGAAAUCCCUCGGCUUAACCGAGGAAUUGCGCCCAAAACUACAGGGCUAGAGGAAGACAGGGGUAAGCGGAACUGAUGGUGGAGCGGUGAAAUGCGUUGAUAUCAUCAGGAACACCAGUGGCGAAGGCGGCUUACUGGGUCUUUUCUGACGCUGAGGCACGACAGCUAGGGGAGCAAACGGG